UGGCUCUCGCAUCGAUGAAGAACGCAGCGAAAUGCGAUAAGUAAUGUGAAUUGCAGAAUUCAGUGAAUCAUCGAAUCUUUGAACGCACCUUGCGCCCUCUGGUAUUCCGGAGGGCAUGCCUGUUUGAGUGUCUUGAUAUCAUCAAACCCCUCGGGUUCGCGCCCGUUGCGGUUUGGAGUUGGGGGCUUGCUGCCGCGAGGCGGCUCCCCUUAAAAUCAUCGGUUUGGCCCGCAUCGUGCGGCUUGCACCUUUGGCGUUGUAUUUUCCUCGCCUUUGAUCGGUCUUGCUCGCUUCCGCGCCUCACCUCGACUUGCCCUUUGGGUGGCGGUCACUUCUUGACAAUCUGGCCUCAAAUCAGGUAGGACUACCCGCUGA
rnacentral:misc_RNA from 1 species